GCUGGGUGUGGUGGCUCACGCCUGUAAUCCCAGUACUUUGGGAGGCUGAGAUGGGUGGAUCACCUGAGGUCAGGAGUUUGAGACCAGCCUGACCAACAUGGAGAAACCCCGUCUCUA
ensembl:misc_RNA Metazoa_SRP Metazoan signal recognition particle RNA